rnacentral:rRNA from 1 species
AGAGUUUGAUCAUGGGGCUCAGAACGAACGCUGGCGGCAUGCCUAACACAUGCAAGUCGAACGAGACCUUCGGGUCUAGUGGCGCACGGGUGCGUAACGCGUGGGAAUCUGCCCUUCGGUUCGGAAUAACUCAGGGAAACUUGAGCUAAUACCGGAUAAUGACUUCGGUCCAAAGAUUUAUCGCCGAGGGAUGAGCCCGCGUAGGAUUAGCUUGUUGGUGAGGUAAAAGCUCACCAAGGCGACGAUCCUUAGCUGGUCUGAGAGGAUGAUCAGCCACACUGGGACUGAGACACGGCCCAGACUCCUACGGGAGGCAGCAGUGGGGAAUAUUGGACAAUGGGCGAAAGCCUGAUCCAGCAAUGCCGCGUGAGUGAUGAAGGCCUUAGGGUUGUAAAGCUCUUUUACCCGGGAUGAUAAUGACAGUACCGGGAGAAUAAGCCCCGGCUAACUCCGUGCCAGCAGCCGCGGUAAUACGGAGGGGGCUAGCGUUGUUCGGAAUUACUGGGCGUAAAGCGCGCGUAGCGGCUUUGUAAGUUAAAGGUGAAGCCCGGGGCUCAACUCCGGA